GGCCUACUGGCCCAAUGGGUAAGCAUCAUCUUCACGCUCAAUUAAGUCCGAACAUUCACUAACAGUCUCACAGCAAGGCGUCUGACUACGAUUCAAAUCGAUAUCAGGAGAUUGCAGGUUCGAUCCCUGCGUAGGUCA
rnacentral:tRNA from 1 species